UGUUCCCUGCGGUGUUUGUCCGGGUUGCAAUUUCUUUGAACCAAUAUGUAAUGACUGGUUGCGGCAAAUGCCGGGAGCCGUUGUGCGCGUCACGCUGCUGAUGUGCCUGAAGCCCCGCCGCUGCGACCCCUUGAACCCCCGGUUCAAGACUCGCAACCCGACGGCAUCAGCGGGGACUCC
rnacentral:other from 1 species